UGGAUGUACUCUAAGACUCAAGACUGCUUGAAGUACUUACAGGACUUGUUAGCCUUGAGGAAAAAAUAUCUUGACAACAUCAAUAAGUUGAAAUCUAUGCAUAUGACUGCAGAUUCCCCAACAUCCACAAAAUCAUCCAAAACUGGAAAGAAGUCAUUUCUUCCGCUUUCCUCCAAAGAGUUUUCUAAGACAUCCAUGGAGAGAAGAAAAGUCCCACAGCCCAAUUCAGAUGUAAGAGAAGCGAUAGCGUUCUUUGACUCGGUUAUUGCAGAUCUGGAUUCAGAGAGAUGCCGGAGAGCUCCUGACAUGGACCUGCCAAAUGCAGAUGUUGAUUUUGAUGUGGCUACCAGCACAAGCGAACACAGUUUACAUUCAAACUGGAUCCUUCGUGCUCCUCGCAGGUACUCAGAAGAUACUGCCCAAACAGCAAAGGCUGCAAACCAGUCAC
ensembl:lncRNA